UAGUUCACAGCAGUCAAGGCUUCUUGAAAA
rnacentral:piRNA from 1 species